GCGAGUAUGCUGGAAUUGGCAGACAGGCAUGUUUGAGGGGCAUGUGUCAGAAAUGAUGUGUGGGUUCAACUCCCACUACUCGCACCA
rnacentral:tRNA from 1 species